UCCCGAAGUAACCAUGCCCCGAGAGGAC
rnacentral:sRNA from 1 species